rnacentral:rRNA from 1 species
AAAAACGGAGGAAAAGAAACCAACAGGGAUUGCCCUAGUAACGGCGAGUGAAGCGGCAACAGCUCAAAUUUGAAAGCUGGCUCCGGCCCGCAUUGUAAUUUGCAGAGGAUGCUUUUGGCGAGGUGCCUUCCGAGUUCCCUGGAACGGGACGCCAUAGAGGGUGAGAGCCCCGUAUGGAUGGACACCAGACCUGUGUAAAGCUCCUUCAACGAGUCGAGUAGUUUGGGAAUGCUGCUCUAAAUGGGAGGUAAAUCUCUUCUAAAGCUAAAUACCGGCCAGAGACCGAUAGCGCACAAGUAGAGUGAUCGAAAGAUGAAAAGCACCUUGAAAAGGGGGUUAAACAGUACGUGAAAUUGUUGAAAGGGAAGCAUUUAUGACCAGACUUGCGCCGGGCAGCUCAUCAGGGGUUCUCCCCUGUGCACUCUGCCCGGCUCAGGCCAGCAUCGGUUCUCGUGGGAGGAUAAGAACAGUGGGAACGUGGCCCCCCUCCGGGGGGGUGUUAUAGCCCAUUGUACGAUACUCUCGUGGGGACCGAGGUUCGCGCUCCGCAAGGAUGCUGGCGUAAUGGUCAUCAAUGACCCGUCUG